rnacentral:lncRNA from 1 species
GAGAAGGUGGCUAUUAAUAACUUCGAAAGAUGAGCUGAGUGACUUUUUUGCUUACAUCAGGCAUGCUUGAUUUCUAUGGAGAUACUCCCUCUGUUCCUUAAUGUAAGUCUUUUUAGAUAUUCCAAUAUAGACUAAUACGGAGCAAAAUGAGUAUCUACACUCUAAAAUAUGUCUAUAUUCAUCCGUGUGUAGUCCAUAUUGAAAUCUCUAAAAGGACUUAUGUUUAGGAACGGAGGAAGUACAUGGUUAAUGCUCUACCGAAGUAUGUGCAUGCAAGGCACAUUUUUAGAUUGGUUUGCAUUUUAUGGGCAAAGUUGUUGGUUUUCGUAGCAUGGCAACCUUCAGAUGUUGAUGCAAAAGACAAGCGAUGCUUUACUCGGUGCAGUUUUCAUAUGGUCUAUUUAAUUAGCUUUUGUCUGAUGUCGUCAUGGUACAAGGCAUAAUUUUGCCAAAUGUAUUGCUUGAUAUACUGGUAGGAAACAUAAACACACCUACAUGAACUGUUUCAAGCUUUGCUUUGCUUUGCUAUGUUCUUAACUUCCAAUCUAUGUUAUUAACUUCCAAUAGCAUAUUACAUGAAAUAUUCAUUGCAUCUCAUUUUGCACCCUGGUCCACUCACCAAAAAGGGGCAGCCCACAGUGUUUUUGUAAAGAACGCAAUGAAGCAAAGUAGAAUCUUGUAUUUGUAUCAAUCUUCUUUUUGCAGUACUUUUGCAUGCAGUAAUCUUGUUUGUGCCUUUGGAAGCGAGGAGAUCCAGACUGAAACAAAUGCAGCAAGGAAGAUAUUUACUACAGACAAACAUGUGCACUGCAGUUCUGUUGAGAGAGAUUAAGUCAGG